rnacentral:rRNA from 1 species
UACGAGGGGGGCGAGCGUUGUUCGGAAUUAUUGGGCGUAAAGGGUGCGUAGGCGGUUUGGUAAGUCUUAUGUGAAAUCUAUGGGCUCAACUCAUAGUCUGCAUGAGAAACUGCCGGGCUUGAGUGUGGGAGAGGUGAGUGGAAUUUCCGGUGUAGCGGUGAAAUGCGUAGAUAUCGGAAGGAACACCAACGGCGAAAGCACUCUGCUGGGCCGACACUGACACUGAGAGACGAAAGCUAGGGGAGCAAAUGGG